UACGUAGGGGGCUAGCGUUGUCCGGAAUCAUUGGGCGUAAAGCGCGCGUAGGCGGCCCGGUAAGUCCGCUGUGAAAGUCAAAGGCUCAACCUUUGAAUGUCAGCGGAUACUGCCGGGCUAGAGUCCGGAAGAGGCGAGUGGAACUCCUGGUGUAGCGGUGGAAUGCGCAGAUAUCAGGAAGAACACCAACGGCGAAGGCGGUCUGCUGGGCCGUUGCUGACGCUGAGGCGCGACAGCGUGGGGAGCAAACAGG
rnacentral:rRNA from 1 species